UUUCCGUAGGUGAACCUGCGGAAGGAUCAUUAAAAAAUUGGACUCCAUUGGUGAGUUCAUUAAUAAUCCCUACCCUUUGUGAAUUUGUUUGUUUGAAUAAUUUUUUUUCCAAAAAAAAUUAUUGAAUGUCUUUCCUUGUUUUGGUGGAGCUUGUAAAGUGAAACCAGGCAGGGGAAUGGCAAACAAUAAUUAUUUUUGAAAAAGACCUUUUUUUAAAAUUAAACUUUUUGUAUUCAUUUGUCUAAAAUUAAUUUUUAUAAUAUAAAAACAACUUUUGACAAUGGAUCUCUUGGUUCUCGCAACGAUGAAGAACGCAGCAAAAUGCGAUAAGUAGUGUGAAUUGCAGAAUACGUGAAUCAUCGAAUCUUCGAACGCAUAUUGCACUUUUUUAGUUUACUAAAAAAGUAUGUCUGUUUGAGUAUCAGUAAAAUAUUCUCAUAAAAAACAUUGUUUUUUUUAUGGUUAUGAGUGUUUUACAACGAUAACAAGUUGUUUCACUUUAAAUUCUUUGUUAUCAAAAAAAUCAUUAAAAGCUAAUUUUAAAGAUUUUUUAAAAUUGGAUAAAAUUUUCCCGUAAAAAGGAAUAACCUAAACAAUUUUAAAAAAUUAAAAUUGGUUUGAUUUUUUUUGAAACCCAAAGGAAAAAAAAACGAAAUUAACUUGAUCUCAAAUCAGAUAAGAGUACCCGCUGAACUUAAGCAUAUCAAUAAGCGGAGGAAAAGAAACUAACUAGGAUUCCCUCAGUAACGGCGAGUGAAGCGGGAAGAGCUCAAAUUCGAAAUCUUCAAGGUUUUACCUUGACGAAUUGUAGUUUAAAGAAGUGUUUUCUGUUGGAGUUUUGGUAAAAGUUCUUUGGAAAAGGACAUCAUAGAGGGUGAGAAUCCCGUAUUUGACCAUUAUCUCCAGCUUUGUGAUACACUUUCAAAGAGUCGGAUUGUUUGGGAAUGCAGUCCAAAAUGGGUGGUAAAUUUCAUCUAAAGCUAAAUACUGGCGAGAGACCGAUAGCGAACAAGUACCGUGAGGGAAAGAUGAAAAGAACUUUGAAAAGAGAGUUAAACAGUACGUGGAACUGUCAAAAGGGAAGCGUUUGACACCAGUGUUGUUUUCUCGAAAAUCAAUUAAAAAAGGCCGGAUUUUGUGUUGUAUUGACUUUAUCAGCUUUCUGCACUCUUUUCUUGUCUUUUUUAAUGCACUUUUCGUUUAACAAGUCAACACCAAUUUCUUUUGUUGUAAAAGGGUCAUUGGAAGGUGGCUUUCUUUUCGGAGAAAGUGUUUAUAGCCUUUGGCCUCUGCAAUCGGAGAGAUUGAGGUCUGCAGCGUAGAUCCUUCGGGGUUAGAUACAUUUGGGCUAAGUUAUAGCCUUUCAUAGACAACUUGUUGACUAUGAUCAGUCAUGUAGCUUACUCGCUUAUGCUAUUAUACCUACGCUUAGGAUGUUG
rnacentral:misc_RNA from 1 species